GGAGAGUUGCCGGAGUGGUCGAACGGGACGGAUUCGAAAUCCGUUGAACUGGCAACAGUUCCCAGGGUUCGAAUCCCUGACUCUCCGCCA
rnacentral:tRNA from 11 species